UACAGGGGGUGCAAACGUUGCUCGGAAUUACUGGGCGUAAAGGGCGCGUAGGCGGUUCGUUAAGUCCUGUGUGAAAUCCCCCGGCUCAACUGGGGAACUGCACAGGAAACUAGCGGGCUUGAGUUCGGGAGAGGGAAGCGGAAUUCCGGGUGUAGCGGUGAAAUGCGUAGAUAUCCGGAGGAACACCGGUGGCGAAGGCGGCUUCCUGGACCGACACUGACGCUGAGGCGCGAAAGCUAGGGGAGCAAACGGG
rnacentral:rRNA from 1 species